GUGCUCACUUUGGCAGCACAGAUACUAAAAUUAGAAUGAUACAGAGAUUAGCAUGGCCCCUGUGCAGGGAUGACGUGCAAAUUCAUAAAGUAUUCCAUAGUUUU
rnacentral:snRNA from 1 species